rnacentral:rRNA from 1 species
GACGAACGCUGGCGGCGCGCUUAACACAUGCAAGUCGAGCGAAGCGGCGGACGGGUGAGUAACACGUGAGUAACCUGCCUUAGACAUUGGGAUAGCCUCGGGAAACCGGGAUUAAUACAAAAUGGUCUAAGAUGGACUCGCGUCCCAUUAUCUAGUUGGUGAGGUAACGGCCCAACAAGGCGACGAUGGGUAGCCGGCCUUAGCGGGUGAACGGCCACAUUGGAACGGAGAAACGGUCCAAAGUCUACGGGAGGCAGCAGUGGGGAAUAUUGUACAAUGGAGGGAACUCUGAUGCAGCGACGCCGGGUGAACUAAGAAGGCUUUCGAGUCGUAAAGUUCUUUUAUAUGGGAAGCGGUACCAUAAGAAAAAGCCCCGGCUAACUACGUGCCAGCAGCCGCGGUAAUAC